GGUGAACGCUGGCGGCAGGCCUAAUACAUGCAAGUCGAACGCACCUUCGGGUGAGUGGCGGACGGGUGAGUAACGCGUGGGAACGUGCCCUUUGGUACGGAACAACUGAGGGAAACUUCAGCUAAUACCGUAUGUGCCCUUCGGGGGAAAGAUUUAUCGCCAUUGGAGCGGCCCGCGUUGGAUUAGCUAGUUGGUGGGGUAAAGGCCCACCAAGGCUACGAUCCAUAGCUGGUCUGAGAGGAUGAUCAGCCACACUGGGACUGAGACACGGCCCAGACUCCUACGGGAGGCAGCAGUAGGGAAUCUUGCGCAAUGGGCGAAAGCCUGACGCAGCCAUGCCGCGUGAAUGAUGAAGGUCUUAGGAUUGUAAAAUUCUUUCACCGGGGAAGAUAAUGACGGUACCCGGAGAAGAAGCCCCGGCUAACUUCGUGCCAGCCGCCGCCGUAA
rnacentral:rRNA from 1 species